rnacentral:rRNA from 1 species
AACGAACGCUGGCGGCAGGCUUAACACAUGCAAGUCGAACGGUUGUAGCAAUACAGCAGUGGCAGACGGGUGAGUAACACGUGGGAACCUUCCUAGGGGUACGGAACAACUCAGGGAAACUUGAGCUAAUACCGUAUACGUCCGUGAGGAGAAAGAUUUAUCGCCCUUAGACGGGCCCGCGUCGGAUUAGCUAGUUGGUGGGGUAACGGCCUACCAAGGCGACGAUCCGUAGCUGAUCUUAGAGGAUGAUCAGCCACACUGGGACUGAGACACGGCCCAGACUCCUACGGGAGGCAGCAGUGGGGAAUUUUGCGCAAUGGACGAAAGUCUGACGCAGCAACGCCGCGUGGGUGAUGAAGGUCUUCGGAUUGUAAAACCCUGUCGCCAGGGACGAAGGGUGGGCGUGAAUAGCGUUCUACUUUGACGGUACCUGG